UUCGAGAGACAGAGGGAGACAGGUGGUGCAUGGUUGUCGUCAGCUCGUGUCGUGAGAUGUUGGGUUAAGUCCCGCAACGAGCGCAACCCUUGAUCUUAGUUGCCAGCACUUCGGGUGGGCACUCUAAGAUGACUGCCGGUGACAAACCGGAGGAAGGUGGGGAUGACGUCAAAUCAUCAUGCCCCUUAUGACCUGGGCUACACACGUACUACAAUGGUCGGUACAACGGGAUGCGAAGCCGCGAGGCGGAGCCAAUCCUUAUAAGCCGAUCUCAGUUCGGAUUGCAGGCUGCAACUCGCCUGCAUGAAGUCGGAAUUGCUAGUAAUCGCGGAUCAGCAUGCCGCGGUGAAUACGUUCCCGGGCCUUGUACACACCG
rnacentral:rRNA from 1 species